rnacentral:rRNA from 1 species
CCUACGGGAGGCAGCAGUGAGGAAUAUUGGUCAAUGGACGAGAGUCUGAACCAGCGAAGUAGCGUGAAGGAUGACGGCCCUAUGGGUUGUAAACUUCUUUUAUAAAGGAAUAAAACGAGGCACGUGUGCCUUUUUGCAUGUACUUUAUGAAUAAGGAUCGGCUAACUCCGUGCCAGCAGCCGCGGUAAUACGGAGGAUCCGAGCGUUAUCCGGAUUUAUUGGGUUUAAAGGGAGCGUAGAUGGGUUGUUAAGUCAGUUGUGAAAGGUUGCGGCUCAACCGUAAAAUUGCAAUUGAAACUGGCAGUCUUGAGUACAGGUGAGGUAGGCGGAAUUCGUGGUGUAGCGGUGAAAUGCUUAGAUAUCACGAAGAACACCGAUUGCGAAGGCAGCUUACUAAACUGUGACUGACAUUGAGGCUCGAAAGUGUGGGUAUCAAACAGGAUUAGAUACCCGGGUAGUC